UAGCAAUGAACAGGCUUAGACUUAGAGC
rnacentral:piRNA from 1 species